rnacentral:lncRNA from 1 species
UUCUGCUUUUGUUUGUUCUUCACAUGUUUUGUUUUACUUUAACUUCAAUGUGUAACAGUUCACAUAUGCAUGUCUGCCUGUCGAUCUACGCUUCUUCAGUCUGUAGUCUACCAACGUUCUCAACUAGAGUUACUCUUUUAAAGCCUUUCCCUAUUUUAUUGUAAGGAUCUGUUACCUCAAAUAACAAUCGCAAAGCACAUUGAAUAUUUACAAUACACAUGACACUGUUACAUUUCAUGAGAGGUGUUUGUUGUUAUUCUGUUGUUAUGUAGUAUGGUAAUAUCUAUUCAUGUAUUUCUCUGUCCUGAGUGUUCUUGCGUUUAUUUUUAAUGUAUCCUUUUAACGAAAUGUUAUCAUUCUUGCUGGUUUUUUUUUUACAUUUCCAUAUAUAGGCGAAAAUUUUUGCUAGCUAUAAAACCAGGUUCAACUCACCAUUUUUUUCCAUAAAAUGACCUGUGCCAAGUCAUGAAUAUGGCAGUUAUCUAGUUGUCCGUUUCUAUGUAUGUUUGCGUUUGUUUUUCUUGCAGUUCAGUGUUUCUAUUGUCCUCUUGUUUUUCUGUUAUAGUUGAAUUGUUUCCCUCGGUUUUAGUUGGGAUCGAUUUAUAGGUACUAGUAUUAAACAGCGGUAUAAGGAAUCAAAUGACAAAAUCAAAAGAUAAAACACAUCAAACAAAUGGACAACAACUGUCAUAUUCCUGACUUGGUACAUGCAUUUUCAAAUGUAGAAAAUGGUGGAUUGAACCUGGUUUUAUAGCGCUAAAUCU